UCCAGGUUUGUUUCUGCCUCUGAAAUAUCCUAAACUGGUUCUUGUAUCAGGAAACAAUUACUAAUGGGGUUUCAUUUGAAUCCAAAACAAAAGUUCCUAGGGGAACUGAGAAUCCCACUUAGGAGUUUAUGAAAUAAUAAAGCUGGAAAAGAAAAUCAUGGUUAGGGGACUGAGGGUGGGGACAGCAGAAGAUCUUGCUCCCCCCACUCUUUCUUGGAGCACAGAGAGCUUUAGGCGGUAUGUGACCUGAAAGCACCAGACUUAGGGUUCCGGGGAGGAGAUGAUGGAGUGCAGAGGUAACAGGACAGCCAGUGGCCAGAGAGUUGUGUGGCAGCCAAGCGGAAGCUCUGGUUGGCUGUCUCUCUUUAUUCAUUACCCAGACCUGCCAGAGAGGCAGGUCUCAGCUAUGUCAGGACACGUCCUACCUGUGUGAGAAGGGGGACUUUCCUCCAUAGCCCCCUAGAGCUCGGCCCUCAAUAGGACACCCAUUGGCAACCUGAGACUUUUAGGAGCCCUGUCUAAUCAUGCCACUUGAAAGCCACCCUGGACAUAUGGCGUGGAGUCCUCAGCCCCCUCAGAGAGGCAGUGACAGGUGGAACAGACAUAUAUGGGUGGAGAAGAAGAGCAGGCAAAGUCAUACCAUGUACACAACCUCACUAGCAAGAAUGGUAUCUAAUAGACAUUUAGUGCAUGGCUUGUCACAAAUAAGCCCAACCACUGUCUCGCUUCUAAUUUAGAGACCUCUUAUAAGAAUGUACUUCCUGGGGAACUCUGGCCUGACAAAAUAAAAUGUGGAAAGCUUUUUUAUAAUGUAGGGUUCCAAAAGGUAAAUAAGCUUGUAUAUUUGGCCAGCUGCUGAUGCUGCCAUCACUGCAGAAGAGCAGGCAGUGGGGCCAGCCCACAUCCAUGCAUUCUCACAUUUGACCCCUCAGGAAAUAAAUACUUUAUACUGUUUAAAGAGCCCUUAGCCUUCCUAGGCUCCUGGACACUCAUAACCUUCCUAUCAAAUUAUGGAAGCCAGGGGAGCACUGAGACGGGGCAGCAAGAAUCAACAUGAUGAAGACAUCUUGAAACUUAACUUGGUUUUUGAUUGUACAUCACCUCCUCCCAAAAAGGAACUCGCCAGUCCCAAAGGCCACCUAGUGGGAAGCUGCCACGGUGGUGCCUGACUCCACCCCAAGGAAAAAGAGGAAGAGGCUUUUUGUAUUUCAUCCUAACACUUCAGCAAGUUAUUAGGAACAUUAAUUAUCUAACCACUGCCUGGCCCUUAUUAGUUCUGCAAGGGCCAUAGUCCUCUGGUUCUUGGUAAAUACUCUGAGGCACCAGAUGGCCCAUUCCUUGGGAUGGUGGGCUUUCCAGUGGGUUGGGAAGUGUAUCCAGUGGCCCCGGGACCCAUUCCUUCACUCUACUCGCUGCUGGGUCUGUUAUAGAAAGCUGGCACGGACAGCUGCUUUCCUCUUUGUCAUGGGCAGCACGGCUGUGACAGCACACACACAGUCAGUCCCUGUGCUCUCCUCUUUCCUACUGCCAUUCCCACCUGCCUGAGCAUUUUUUUUCUUUUUCCUUUAUUUUUCCUGAUUCAUUUCAGUGACCCAUGAGGUACAGGAAGUUUAUGUUGCCCUGCUUCCUUGCUCUAAUGCUUAUUGCCUGCAAACACUGCUAUCUGGAAGCGGGACUGUAUCCUGGUUUCCAGAUCAUUUGACUUGACUUGUGAUUAUUAGUAACCAGAGAACUGAAGCAAACAGUGGUCUGCCUUCCAUUCUGCCUUCCACAAAAGGGUUAACCUUAAGGCACACAGAGCACAGCACUGGUCUCCCUCCAGUGCUCCCAGGCUGAUAGGCUGCAGGGCUUACCAUAUUAGGAGUGUGUGAAGGGAAAAUUCGGCUCCUGGUGUACACAGCAGGAGCUCUUCUGUCAGUCUACAGUGCAAGCUCUAUAUUUAGUAACAGGCACUUGGGAAUAGCAGCUUCAUGUGGGAGUGGGUUGCUGGAAUGCAGAUGUGUAGCGAAUCUCUACCCCAAUCCUCAUGGAGCCUUAAAACUGAAGCCCUAGGAGAGAGCUGGGCUCUUCCUCUACCUGCUCCAGGCUGUCUGGAUGACAUCUUUUGCGAAACAGGGAAGAAUGAUACAGUCCCUUUCAUGUAUGCUGCAUUUUAAUAUGAAGGAGAGGAAUUGUGAUAGUUGAACAACCAUCACUCAAAAUGUUGAAACUGAUUUUUCUCCCUCCAGGCCUUACCUCCUCUCCUAUAUCAGGUUAACUAACCACUAGUACGAUGAGUGGAAUAAUUUUAUUGACUUACGAUUUCUCUGUAUAGGAAAUAAAUAAAAUAGCUUCCCUUUGGUUUUGCAGGAAAUGUAUCUUUGGUACUACAAGAAUUUUAUUUCACAUUACAAGAAGCCCUUGGUUCUAAAAAUGUGUCUUCAUUUAUAAAAUAUAAUUGUAUAAAUAGAACAUAAGCAUUAUGUAUGAAAUGAUUUCUUAUAGGCCCAUACAAAUUUGCACAAUAUAGUAACACUCUGUGAGAAUAAAAAUUAAUUAAAAAUAGUCUUGUAGAUAAAAUUAUUAACUCAUUUGAUGAUAUGGAAGUAAGUGUCUUGUUUAAUCAACUUACCGUAGCUCUGUUUUAAGGGUAAUCUGUUUAUCCAGGAAUGAUCAGUUCCAGGGCAGCUUUUGUUCUCUUUCCUUCUCCCUCUCUCUUUCUCUCUGCUAAAUUUGCUGUUUCAACUGACCAAGACUUAAGGCAGAGAUGAAUGCAGUGAGGAAAUAGAAUGCUUAAGAAUUCAAGACAAGGGUCCAGGCAUAGACAAAUCAGCAAGAAUCUAGCUUCCAGAUAAUUAUAGUUCAUAAUAAUGAUUAUGAUAAUUAAUUUAUUGCCCAUUAUGUGCCAAGCCCUGAAAACACUGAGCUAAGCACAUGCGUGCACUGAAAUUUAUAGUAACCCUGUGAAGUGGAUUCUCUUAUUUUCAUCAUUAAAUAUAUGAGUAAACUGAGGCACAAAGAGGUACUUCGUUAAUAAGUGGUGGAGCUGAGUUUGAAAUCCAGGUCUCUGAGUAGAACCCCCUUAAUGACUUCACCAUACUGACUUCUCAGACACUACAGAUCUUGAACCAAGUUUAGGGCUUGAUCUUAGGAAAAAGGUGGAAACUCUGUUUCUAGCACUGUUAUUUUUCUCUGAAAGUUGGAUCUAAUGCUGUUAUUUGUGAGCAAAGUGCUUAUCAUAUGUAGCACAUUGGGUUAAGUGCGGGACCUACAGAGAUAAAUUUGACACAGCCCCUCAAGGAAUAUUGUGAUAGACAAAUACAUAAAUCAUAGCAUGAUGUGAUAAGUGCUUAUAGAACCAGAUAUUAAAUGCUGAUGGGCAGCUAAGGAUAAAGGGAACCAGAGAAAGCUUGAAGACGUGGUAUUUGAGGAGACUUGAGGGAACAAUAACAACUGCUAAGUGGACAAGUCAUUGAAGGGUAUUCUUGGUGGAGAGGGGAAAUUGCUUGGAAAUAUGAAUCAUCAAGUACCUACAAACAGCCUGGUAUAGGUGGAAUAGGGGGAAAUGAACCUAGAAAAGUAGUCUGAAGCCAUAUUACAAAAGGCCUUACAUGCCACAGUAAGGAGGUUAGCUUCCAUUGAAUUCUGAGCUACUGCUCCAAAACCUCCUUGUACUAAAGGUCAGGACUGAUCAUCAGGGAUGAUUCUGCAGGCCAGUGCUACAAAUGAUAGCUUGAAAUAAGGGAGAGAUUCUGAGAUAAGUAACUAGAAUAUCCUGUUAGGAUCUAAAUAAACAGGGUCCAAGCCAAAGAAUUUGUCCUGUGGGGUCAUAACUGUCUUUUGGGAUAAAUCAAUAAGUCAUCCUCCUUUGCCCUACAACACCCUUAGUCCAUUAGUCUGAGCUUCUAAUGAAAACUUGUCUCAGUAUUCAAGAAGAUUUCCAAUUUCCUUUUAACCUGCAAGAAGCUGAUUAAAUUAAGCACCAUUGACAUCUAGGUUCUUAAAAUAGAAACUCAUUUAAAGGGAUCAGCAGUCAGAAUAACACAUGUGGUGUCACCUUCUGGUUCCCCUUUCUGCCACCCUUGGUUCUAGAGACUGGAUAUUUUUCAUGGAUGAAGCUCUGUCAACUUGCAGGUUUCCCUACAAGAAGAAGUCGAACCUAUCUCUUUACCUUCUCAGUAGCUACUUGCUGAAAAAAGGAUAGAACCAGACUGACUCCUUUAACUUUAAUUUUACAUUGACUGUUUUACCUUUAAAUUCUGGAUUAAAAGUUCAAAUGAGCACUUGACAAUGUCCAGGAAUCCUACUGUGCUCCCACAGGAAACACACUGACCUGCUGAUGACAGUGAUGGCAUGCCGUCACCUCUUGCCCCCAGCUGGCCCACAUCUGCCUACUUCUCAGUUAAUGACCUCAUCUUUCAGGAAAAAGAAGCCCUCAGAGUAGAGAACCUGAUCUCCCUCCUUCAAGAGAAGAGCCUCUGCUCUGAGGGCAGGCGAGCUGCCAUGCUGUGAGCUGCACUAUGGAGAAGGCCACCAGGCAAGCACCUGAGGGAUCAAAGCUAGGGAAGAACUGAAACCUGCAGCCCAAAAGGCCACAAAGAGCUGAAUCAUGCCACCCACCAGUUUGGAAGCAGAUCAUCCUGCAGUAAAGCCUUCAAGGAGCCCACGUGCUAGCCAGUGACCUAACUGUAAUCCUCCUAAAGAUGUUGAGCCAGAGGCACUCAGCUGGGCCUCACCCUGAUGCUUGAGCCACUAAAACUGUGUUUGUUGUUUUAAGCCAUUAAGUUUGGGGUUAAUUUUGUUAAUCAGCAAUAGCUGACCAAUACAGAGACCUAGAGAGUUUAGGCAUAAUUGCCCCAAAUUCAUCCCCACAGUGCUUCCCUAUCAGUUACCUCGCUGUGAAGGGAAUGGAAAAAGAAGUGAAGUGGUGAAAGUAGGAAAGACACUUAGGAACAGAUGCUUUCUUACCUCUUCCCCUUUUUCAAGCACAUCAAAGAGAAGGCAUUAGUCCCACUGAAGAUGCCAUCUUGCUACAACCUCAAGAUAGAGAAAAAUUGCAAUAAUUUUAGAUAUUUGCAGCAAUGACUCAAGAAGGAAGCAGACAUUUUUCCCCCACUACUACCCCUAUCCUUCUCCAUCUUGCACCUCUGGCAUUUUCCCUAAGGUUGUCAUCCUUGCAGAAACAGCUGCAGAAGCAGAAAUGGAGGGCACAGGAGGCAUCCAGGAGUAGUGAAGUGAGAACAAAAGGAUGGUGGAGCAGAAGUGCUGUGUUUUAUUUCUUUUUCUGCCUCAGUGUAGUUCUUAGCACAACAUGAGUUCUUACCACACUGCCAACAUAAAUUAUGAGCUAAUUAUUUGGGCUCACAGAAAGACUUGUUCAGAUCUACUUUUACAAUUACCAGGGAAACAAAAUGAGAAUUGCAUCUCUGUAAGUUCUAGCUCUCAACUUUAUGGAAACACAUGUUGUUAGAAGGGGCCUUAUCAGUGAUACAAUGAAAAAUGUAUAAGCGAGAGAGAAUAUCUCAUUAGGACAAAGAGAAAAGAUACUACAGAGGUGUCCAGCAAACUCUCAGUUGUUUCACAGGUUAUGAUGAACACCUUAGAGUUACUCUGACGAAUGACAAAAGAUCUGAACUAUCACAACCUUCUGUCAGACCAGAAUGGACUUUCUUCCAUGUACCAAUAUUUUUUAGUGACAGCAAUGUAAACUUAAACAAAAGCAAAAAUAAAGCCUUGAUUUUAUUUAUUUAUUUUUUGGGUUACCUUCCAGGCAGCAGAGGCUAUAUGACAAAGUACUGACCAGUGAAGUGAAAGAAGAAGUCUAUGGUAGGGCUUUUAAGAAAAUACAGACUUCCUGAUUUAAAAAAAGGAAUAAACUUAACUGGCAUAUGCCUUUGCUCUUUCUUUCUUUCUUUUUUGCUUGACUGGAAUGCAGUUACAAUGUCUGAAGAUGCAGCAGCCAUUUUGUGACCAUUGGAAAAUCUACUUGCCAGGUACUGCAAAUGGACAAGAGAAGAAACCAGAUUGAUUCUCUGAGGGAAUCCUUAUGCCACUACCCUGCCACUGGGCUGCUACCUUCAGACCUGUUAUCUAAACAAAAUAAUCAUUUUACUUAACUAAUCCAUGAAAACACAGAAACUCAGAAAAAAAAGGAGGAAUUUUAUCCCCGUGAUCAGAGUUUCUCUAAAUGGUUUAUAAAUAAUUUUCCAGUGGCUAAAACACUAGCUUUAAAAUACAUGUAUUUUACCAACUAACUCAUUCAAUUCAGGAUAUAUGGUGUCCUUUUACAGGAUUAGUUGACUAUUCCAUUCACUAUAUUUCUAAGGGAAAAAAUGGGCAAAGUAUCAUUGAAAGAGAUGUUGACCAAAGGCUGCUUGAACAUCCUUUUGAACUGUGGGAGUCUGUCACAGAGCUCUUGGCCUAUAUUUUGGCUGUGGCACCCCUAGAAAUUGAAAUCUUGAUAUAUUAUAGCCUGAAGAGAUUUCAGUGUUUCUCGAAGCUUUUUCUGUAAUUUACUUGAGAAAUUCUUUUAAAUAAAAGGCUGAAGUUGGGAAAGACCUCCUGGACUAUUCUUUAAGUAUUCGUGUUAAAUGUUACCUUAUUAAAGGCACUGAGAUGUCUCAUAGUUAAAUCAUGUGUUAAUUUUUUUUAGUCCAGCAUAGGUCAUAGAGCCCUUUUCUUGUAUAACACUUUCUUCCAUGUACCAUCUUGAAGUUCUGGCUUAGAAAACCCUAAAAAUCUAGAAUGACACCAUUUUCACAAUUCAAAUUUUCCUCAUUUUUCUUUUUUUUAGAUUUUUUACUCUUAAGUUGUUUUGCUCACUAUUAGGAAAACUUACAGACAACAUUAGACAGAGCAACACUGAACUCCUUUGCAAAUUCAGUCACAUCAAAUAAUUUCCUCUUCCUUAAUGGAAAUUGUUCACAGGUAAUCACUAAGACUCAUUGUAUGGCAGAAGAUCCUGUGACUCUGUUCUGAAUGGAGGGUUUUUUUUUCUGUUUAAUGAUAUCUCUUUGAGUGCUAUCUUUCAAUUAGCUGGACCAACACUGCUGUGCUCUGUCUCUGUCCCAAAAGGAAUGCACUGAGCUGCCAUUUAAGCUUUUUACUGCCCUGAGGCUGCCAUGCUGGGAGGAAGUGCGGACUAUCUCAUGGAAAGACCACAAGGAGAAACCCCAAGACCACAUGGAGUUUGACAGAUGCCCAGCCAGCUCCCAGUUGCUCAGUCCCCACUCCCAGCGACCCAGCUCCAGCCUGCAUCCGACUGCAACUCUGUGCUGCACCCUAAGCCAGAGCUGCCCCAAGCCCUCCCCAGAUUCUUGACUCACACAGACUAUGAAGUGUAAUGGAAUGACUAUCAUCUUAAGCCACUAAGUAUGGGAGUAAAAUUGCAACAUGGCUAUAGGUACUGGAACAGAGGGGUACAAAGGUGGUAGUACAUGGUCUUUGGGCUAAAAGGGGCUUGGAAUACUGACGGGAAGACCAAAUAUGCAUAUAAGGAGAACAAAAGUGUGGAUGAAGGAAAGAGGCAGACCAAAAAGACUAGCAAUGGGCUAAACAUGGGAAUAGAUUGACUCAGGUUUUCAAACUGUUAUGGAGAAGCCACUUUCAAAUAUCAGACCUGUUGCCUGUUGUUGAAAGUCCCGACAGAACUUGAAGACCAAAGAUUGUCAAGGAAUGGGGCAACUUGUAAAUCCAGCUUCUGGUUUAUAGUUGGUUGUAAAAAUUCCUGUAAGUUUUAAGUAAUGUGAAAUUACAUUAGCAUUUCUAUGGAAAAACAAUAAUAAGCCUUUUCAUGCAUUAUCCUAUUUGAUCAUCAUAAAACCCCAAUAGAUUGUCAGUUGGUCCAACUUCCCAAUUUACUAGAUAAUUUUCUUGAAAAAAUUAAGAAAUACCCGGCUCAAGUUAAUCAGUUAAACAUGCGUGCCUACUAUGGGCAGAGAAGAAAUAUA